rnacentral:rRNA from 1 species
AUUGAACGCUGGCGGCAUGCCUUAUACAUGCAAGUCGAACGGUCACAGGCCGCACUUUGCUGACGGGUGGUGGACGGGGACGUAAUACUACGGCAUGGGUCAACUCCCUGUAGAUCUCUACUCAAUUCAGUAACCCAUAGCGCAUACCAUCUAUUGUAUUAAGCCGGAAGCUUAAAUACUGAAGGACUUUGUUGCUCCGAUGUCAGAUUAGGUAGUUGGUGGGGUAAAGGCUCACCAAGCCAACGAUCUGUAGCUGGUCUGAGAGGACGACCAGCCACACUGGGACUGAGACACGGCCCAGACUCCUACGGGAGGCAGCAGUGGGGAAUUUUGGACAAUGGGCGCAAGCCUGAUCCAGCAAUGCCGCGUGCAGGAAGAAGGCCUUCGGGUUGUAAAAUGCUUUUGUACGGAACGAAACGGCUCUGGUUAAUACCCGGGGCUAAUGACGGUACCGUAAGAAUAAGCACCGGCUAACUACGUG